rnacentral:ncRNA from 1 species
UAACCUCUGACGAGAAAAGAGUAGCUCGUGAAUGUUA